AGCUAACUCCGUGCCAGCAGCCGCGGUAAUACGGAGGAUCCAAGCGUUAUCCGGAUUUAUUGGGUUUAAAGGGUGCGUAGGCGGCUUGUUAAGUCAGGGGUGAAAGGCGGUAGCUUAACUAUCGGAGUGCCUUUGAUACUGAUGAGCUUGAAUGCAGCUGAGGUAGGCGGAAUGUGACAAGUAGCGGUGAAAUGCAUAGAUAUGUCACAGAACACCGAUUGCGAAGGCAGCUUACUAAAGUGUGAUUGACGCUGAGGCACGAAAGCGUGGGGAUCAAACAGGAUUAGAUACCCUGGUAGUCCACGCCCUAAACGAUGAAUACUCGAUGUUGGCGAUAUACGGUCAGCGUCUAAGCGAAAGCGUUAAGUAUUCCACCUGGGGAGUACGCCCGCAAGGGUGAAACUCAAAGGAAUUGACGGGGGCCCGCACAAGCGGAGGAGCAUGUGGUUUAAUUCGAUGAUACGCGAGGAACCUUACCCGGGCUUGAAAGUUAGUGAAUGAUACAGAGACGUAUCAGUCCUUCGGGACACGAAACUAGGUGCUGCA
rnacentral:rRNA from 1 species